rnacentral:lncRNA from 1 species
AUGAUGCCGGAGGGUAUCAGACGUCAACGCAGCAGCUGUCCAGCAGUAACACUUUGUUGUGUUGGAGUGAUUUUCUUCAUUCUACUCAUCACUCAAGCAGGAGUUGGAUAUAGCUACAAAAAUUACUGUGAAGAUAUUCCCUUCAUCCCCAUCUAUUUGAUGGUAUUUGGAGGCGGCAUCCUGGUGUUCUGCUGCAGAAAGGAGUGCAGCAUCAUUAUCGCUGUUUUCUUUUUCUUCUGGUUCAUCGUUGGUAAUGUGUUCAUCUUCCGUUCUUUCAACGACUUCAAAGAAGGCAAGCUCUACUGUGACCAGACACUCUACUUGUUUGCCUUUGUGAUCACCAUCGUAACCUAUGCCCUAUUAUUUGUACUCUGUUGCGCCUGUGUGAGUGACAAAGAAGAGUCUAAUGAUGUGCCAGUUUGAAUGAAAAGGAAAGCCAGAAGAUCACAGUCUGUGUGGUUGGUGGAUUUCAUGACAUCAAUGUUUUAAUGCAUGUCUUACAUUCAAUACAUGUUUAUAUUAAAAUAACCUUUCACAAGAGUGUUAUGUUUGACUAUUACAUCACAUCAUACAUUAGAUUCAUAAUAUCUUCAUUUAUUUAUGUAAAGUUACUUGCUUUCAGAGUCAGGGCUGAAAAUCUGUUAAUGAUGUAAAAUCUAAUGUCAUUGACAAAUGAUGGCUGCAUGAAGCUGGAGGGGCUGAAAAGGCCACUGCCCUGUCUGUCAAAUACCAGAGGAGCUGAAUGGAUACAUCAUCGGACAAAUAUCAUUCAAAAAUACCAACAGCCAAAAUGAUGCUCCUCUUUUAUAUACUUUUUUAAUGCUAUUGUCAUCAUUUAUACCAAAAAAUAGAAACCAAAACAAAGAAAAAAAAAAUCAAAGAAUGUCACAAUUGUAUCCCUUUUAUUUCAACUAUUACUGCCUUUUAUCCUUGGAAUAUAGCGAUAAAAUAAAGAAUCAUAUCAUCUGCAUACACUCAUUUCAUGAAUAAAAAUAGGUAUAAAACACUUUCUUUGUUAAAAUGUGUCUGGUACAAACUGAUAUAGAAAC